rnacentral:rRNA from 1 species
UACAGAGGGUGCAAGCGUUAAUCGGAAUUACUGGGCGUAAAGCGCGCGUAGGUGGUUCGUUAAGUUGGAUGUGAAAUCCUCGGGCUCAACCUGGGAACUGCAUUCAAAACUGUCGAGCUAGAGUAUGGUAGAGGGUGGUGGAAUUUCCUGUGUAGCGGUGAAAUGCGUAGAUAUAGGAAGGAACACCAGUGGCGAAGGCGACCACCUGGACUGAUACUGACACUGAGGUGCGAAAGCGUGGGGAGCAAACAGG